UAUAAAAGACGUUACAGGUAGUUUGCGCAAAGGAAAAUUCAACUUAACAAUCAAAGCAGGAGUCCAAGAUUAGGAAGAUGAAGAAUGUCCAGUUCCUCGCCAUUCUCAUUCUCGUUCUUAUUUCCACCCAUGAAGGACUUUGUGCUGGAGGUACUUCAGGAAGUGCAUCAGGAGCUGGUACAGGAGGAAGUUAUUCCGGAGGGAGCUGAUCAGGUUCUGGGAAUGGAACUGCAGGGAUAACUGGAAGUGUGAUAUUGACUUUGUUAUCACUUUGUUUCUACUGUUUCAUGAAAAUAAUAUAGGCUGUAUUAUUUUGAAGCUUUGCCGAUUUCUAUAUCUAUACAUUGUGAAAAACAUACUUGAUACCAUGCAAAUUUUGAAAAGGAGACCCGACUGAAAACCAAACAAAAUGAUACAUGGAUUAUUUUGCGCAAAUACUAUAUAAUGCAAUGAUUUGUGUAAUAAAUAUUUCUUUCUGAAUUAUAACUUUA